rnacentral:rRNA from 1 species
CACUGCCGAGAAAAGCCUCUAGAUAGAAAAUAGGUGCCCGUACCGCAAACCGACACAGGUAGUCAAGAUGAGAAUUCUAAGGUGAGCGAGCGAACUCUCGUUAAGGAACUCGGCAAAAUGACCCCGUAACUUCGGGAGAAGGGGUGCUCUUUAGGGUUAACGCCCAGAAGAGCCGCAGUGAAUAGGCCCAAGCGACUGUUUAUCAAAAACACAGGUCUCUGCUAAACCGUAAGGUGAUGUAUAGGGGCUGACGCCUGCCCGGUGCUGGAAGGUUAAGAGGAGUGGUUAGCUUCUGCGAAGCUACGAAUCGAAGCCCCAGUAAACGGCGGCCGUAACUAUAACGGUCCUAAGGUAGCGAAAUUCCUUGUCGGGUAAGUUCCGACCCGCACGAAAGGCGUAACGAUUUGGGCACUGUCUCAACGAGAGACU